UAGGGAAUCUUCCGCAAUGGGCGAAAGCCUGACGGAGCAACGCCGCGUGAGUGAUGAAGGUCUUCGGAUCGUAAAACUCUGUUAUUAGGGAAGAACAAAUGUGUAAGUAACUAUGCACGUCUUGACGGUACCUAAUCAGAAAGCCACGGCUAACUACGUGCCAGCAGCCGCGGUAAUACGUAGGUGGCAAGCGUUAUCCGGAAUUAUUGGGCGUAAAGCGCGCGUAGGCGGUUUUUUAAGUCUGAUGUGAAAGCCCACGGCUCAACCGUGGAGGGUCAUUGGAAACUGGAAAACUUGAGUGCAGAAGAGGAAAGUGGAAUUCCAUGUGUAGCGGUGAAAUGCGCAGAGAUAUGGAGGAACACCAGGGGCGAAGGCGACUUUCUGGUCUGUAACUGACGCUGAUGUGCGAAAGCGUGGGGAUCAAACAGG
rnacentral:rRNA from 1 species